CACGAUUUAGAGAUUGAGAGGGGAAGGUACAAAAAUCUGACAGUGUCAGAACGUAUCUGUAAAUUGUGUGGUACUGAGGUUGAGGAUGAAAUUCAUUUUCUUCUUCGGUGCCACAAACUUUCAAAUAUUCGUCUUAACUUUUUAAAUGAAAUAACACAACGGUUUAAAAUUUUUAUUGGUUUAGAUAUUAAAUCUCAAUUUAUUUGGCUUAUGU
rnacentral:lncRNA from 1 species